AUUUUCAAAACUGAUUUAAAAUAAGAAUCUAGUUGAUUCUAUACUAACACUGUGUUUGGUUGACUCCAAAAAACUAUCGAUAUUGGAUCCAAAAGAACUGGACAAAUUCAAACUCUUUACAAUGUCACAUUUUCAUUAUAUAAACACAUUUUCAGGAAAUUCAAUAAUAUUACAAACUGUCCACCUCACAUAAAGUAACCCACCUAAUGCAUUUAUAAACAAGGAAAAAGAAAAAAGGCACAAUAAUAAGAUAUCACAAUUAAAAAGGUAAUAAAAAAAAUUAACGGUAGAGGAUGAAUAUAGUCUAUUGUACCAAGGUGAUUGGUGAGGGAUCGGCUAUCGUUCCACAUGUUUUCCAAGAAAGAUGAUAUAAUUUGGUUCCUUUCGAGAGUUCGCUAAAGGCUUCCUAGCAUUCCUGUAUCACAAUUUAUUUAAACAGUAUAAAAACCAAAGAAGAUGGAAGUAUGCCCAAAUCAAUCGAUCAAAUACUUGUUGAUUCCAUCGAAUUUUCAAAACUGAUUUAAAAUUACAAUCUAGUUGAUUCUAUACAGAUAUCAUAUUAGGUUGAUUCCAAAAAAUAUCGAUAUUGGAUCCAAAAGAACUGGACAAAUCCAAACUCUUUACAAUGACUCACAUUUUCUUCAUUUAAACACAUUUUCAGGAAGUUCAAAGGGAAAUAUCAACAAAAUCAAGGACAUCACGUCAAACUAAAUUAAAAAGGCAUAAUUCAUAAAUAAACUAAAAGAUAACGUUUGAACCUGUAAACAAUUGAAUGUACCAAGUUCUCAUAACUCGUGGCUGCUUCACAAGUUCAAA
rnacentral:lncRNA from 1 species